CCUUGCCAGCCCGCUCAGAACUCAAAGGAAUUGACGGGGCCGCACAAGCGGUGGAGCAUGUGGUUUAAUUCGAUGAUACGCGAGGAACCUUACCUGGGCUCAAAUGUAUGUUGACGUAUUCUGAAAGGGAUACUUCUUCGGACAAUAUACAAGGUGCUGCAUGGUUGUCGUCAGCUCGUGCCGUGAGGUGUCGGGUUAAGUCCCAUAACGAGCGCAACCCCUAUCAUUAGUUGCCAUCAGGUCAAGCUGGGGACUCUAAUGAAACUGCCUACGCAAGUAGUGAGGAAGGUGGGGAUGACGUCAAAUCAGCACGGCCCUUACGUCCAGGGCUACACACGUGCUACAAUGGCCGGCACAGCGGGAAGCGGAGGGGCGACCCUGAGCGGAUCCCUUGAAAGCCGGUCCCAGUUCGGAUUGCAGUCUGCAACUCGACUGCAUGAAGUUGGAAUCGCUAAAGUAAUCGCGGAUCAGCCAAGCCGCGGUGAAUACGUUCCCGGGCCUU
rnacentral:rRNA from 1 species